UUUAUUUGAAUACUUUUAUAAAGGUUAAGUACUUAUAUGAAUAUUUUGAAAAAAUUGACUCUUGUAAUACCCAAUUUUUACCCGGCCCGUACCAGAUAAACAAAUAAAUGAAAACAGUCCAUAGAGUCCAAAUUACAAGCAGGCCUACAUGGCCCAAAUUGAAAUAAAGCCGAGGCCCAAAUCUAGUGGCCCAAAACAAUGACAGAAACCCUAGGGUUUCUGGGGAGAACUAGUGCCGCAGCCACCUAGUCCGAAUCUUCACGCGAUCUUCACCUGCAAACACAAGAAAGGAAAGAAAAUCAAGGAUUUCAAAAUUAAAUCAAACAAAUCAAGCAGAUUUCUUUCUUUUAUAUUUUAUAUUUUUUACUAUUUCGGCUAUAAAAAAGGCCAUCGAACACUGUAAUAAGGAUCCGAUUGGAAAAUCAAUAAGAGAGGUAGCAAAUAUUUUUCACAGCAAACACAAAAAAACACCAUCAGAGGAUUAAUCGGGAUAUACAAAGGUUGAUACUUUUAUUUUCGUUUUUUUAUGUUAUUUUUUU
rnacentral:lncRNA from 1 species